UGGGAAGAGGUGCGAGCCAGAGGUGCUUCCAGGCUUGGGGUGACCCGGGAGGAGGCUGCGUCCCCGCUGACAUGCAGAGAUAAGAUGAUGGGUCCCGGCGGCGUGUGGGGCUCCGGCCACCCCCGCCGCUGCUAAGGCACGUUCACUGUCGUGUCCUUGGAAAAAUGCUCAGAACUUGCUUGAGAGCCCACACGCUCCCUUGGAUAAACUCAGAAGGCUCGCUUGGAGAGGAGCAGGAAUAAUCACCACAGACCCAAGAUAAAAAAAAAAAAAAAAAAAAAACAAAAAAAAACAAUAAUCAAAGACUAAUCCUAAAAAUUCUCCUUUAAUCUUUCUGCUUCCAGACCUAGUCUGUCUUUCAUCUAGGACUUUGCUAUUCUUUAGUCGUUCUACCGUUACAGAAACCACAAGGCUGGAAGAGGAGAGGAAAAAAGAGAAGAUUAAAUUAAUGAGCAGGUAAUUAUAGAUGCGCUGUGCCGUAAUUACGGAGUACAGCAAGAGCAUCCGCAGCCAGGACAGGCGCAGCGAGCCAGCUCGGGGCUACGGCCGGAGCGGGUGACUGAGAAAAGCAGCUUGGCCUCGGGAGCAGACGCUGCGGAGCGAAUCCUCACCCUCCCAAGGGAGCUGCAGAGCGGCGAAGGUCUGCUGCUGUGGAUGCGCUACGGCCCUUCCUCCCCGAGCUCCAGGAAAAGCCUGCACUGCCGCUGGGACGAGCGGGUACAGCUACAACCGUGCUGCAACUGCAAUAAAAUAGAAGAGCAAUUUCCCAUGCUGAAGGAGUGCAUUUGGUUUUGCGGUGCCCGGCAGACGCGUACCUGCCGGCCCUCGGCGCAGCCUCCAGCUCCUGCAAGGUGCAAAGUGGCAUUUGAAGCAGCAUUUUGGGCAGAGCGAGGCUGGAGGGGCCGGUCCCGGAUGAGCUGUUGGGUCGGGGGGACCGUGGCACCAACCCGGACAUCUCAGCUGCUCCCUCCGGCAAGGUUUAAGCCCCAAACGUGGCUGCAGCGCGCUCUUCCGCUGAGGCUGCUGCACGGGCGGAGGGGAGGCAGAGCCCUGGCACCACGUUUCGUGUAGCAGCACUUAAAUCAGCAAAGCUGCGCUUAGCAGGAGCGUCCUGCACGUGCGAGGUAAUUUUAUUGUGCUAUUUUAACAGGUGGUGUGGAGAAGAUGACCUUGUCCACGCGGCGAGGACAGAGCUGCGUCCCUGGCUGAGCACGCUGGAAAAGACAACUGGUGAGGGAAGGGACCUGCCUUCCAAAACGUUACAGUAUUUUAGAAAGAAGAAAAUAAAAAGCACAAAAAGAUGGCAUUUGGCCACCCCAAGGUCACAGGGGUAUGAGGAGAAGAAAUGAGUUGAACUUGGUGGAAAUGAGGUGGGCUGGUCAGCUGCUGGAUUGCUCCUGGAGGGAUGCUGGAACUGAGCACCAAGGGAGGGCAAAGACCCUCUGCAGCCAAGGGUCUCUCCAGGAGCAGCUAAAGGCCCUUUGCCCAGGGGCUGCCCCAGUGCUGGGGCAGGGGCUUGUGCCCCCCGAGGCCCCACCCAGCCCCCUGGUCCUGCGGGUGGGCACAGGAUUCCUCCCUUCCUGCAGCACACCCGCCCCUGGUUUGGAUUCAAGCCCCUCUUAAAAGCCAUCACGUUACUACGUUAUCGCCUUCUGCAAAGCAAACGUCACCGAAAUUCGGGUGGGGAACAAACGGCGUGGGAGGGGGAGGAUGUGCCCGUGGGACCUGCCCCAUCGCUGGCCUCCUCACCCGCUCCCGUCCCAGCAGCACGGCUCCCAGCCCCCCAGGAGCAGACUGGCAUCUCAAUUACCUCUUUCUUUAUCACGCCGCUGGAGUAAUCAGGGCCCCAAGCUCCAAUCUGCUAAAUACCGCUUGAAGUCAGAGAGACAAACGCACGCUAAUUACGGAGCGAAGGCAGCGCCGGGAUCCGGAGCAUCGCUCCUGCGCUGCCAGAGCUCGGCGGGCGCGCAGAUCCGGCUCUGCGCUUCCCCGGGGACCCUCUUGGGCUGUUUCGGGGUGGCAGCAGGAGCUCGGCUCGGCUCAGCCCAGCCGGCCGCGGGGGGUGAGGCGCGUCAACCGGCACGGGGGGUUUGGCACCGGGGUUCCUACCCCGCGGUGGGACCCUGGGAAGAGGAGGAGUGGGAUCUGGCCCCGGAGAGCGGUCGCUGCAAAAGCCUCGAGCUGCCGGGCUCUGUCCUCUGGGGCCGGGCUCUGCCCACGUGGUACCGGGGUCCGCAGCCGUGGUUUUUCCCCAAAGCCGUGGUUUUCCUCUGCAGCACUGCCCUCCUCGGGAGCUCGCCGGGCUCGGGAGGGCAGCCCCACGGCCCUUGCUCCCUCGCUGGUGGCUGCGGCUGAUCCUCCUUAGAGCGUCCCACCGAACCUGUUGGGCUGUGAAUCGCUUCCUGCUGAGCACCCACAGCACACAGAUUGGAGGUAACUUUACUCUAGAGAGCCAAUUAAUGCAAAUCUAGGUCUGGUAAUUACAGCGUGAUAAGAUCCCAGCUGCUGAUAUCUCUGGGCAGACAAGGCACCAGGAAGCAAUCUCUGAACGCGCUGGCCGUGACUAUCACAGCUUCACCUCCGUCCUGCGAAGCCUCGGGAAGCUCAGCGUGGCCGUGCUGGUGCCACAGCCCCGCGGCAGGGACGGAGCCACCAGGAGCCCCGAGCACGGCCGCUGCCCCACGGCAUCUCGUCUCUGCCCAGGGCCGGACACCUCCUCCUUGGCUGCCAGGGCCCGCUCUCCAUCCUCCCGGUGAGGGCAAACUUCAGCGGGGAAGUGUUUAUCUGCCGGGCAGUUUGCACCGUGCCUGCUGGGAACCGAAGCUGCCGGGAGAGGAUGGGGAUCGAUUUCUGCAAGCCCGGGGAGGAGAGGUGCAGCCCAGUGCUGGGAAGACUGGAAGCCCCUUGACGUUGCCUUUCUUUCAGCCGUGGGAGGUGUUGAAGCACCCGGCCGAAUUUCCUCUGUGUUGACGAGGAGCAAACAGUCCAGCAGAUGGGAGUUCCCGGCAAGGAGCGCUGUUUGCAGAGAAAAUCCAGAGGCGUUUUGGUGCGUUCGGAGCCGUUGCUUCCUGAGAGAGACCACUGAGGCUGCUUGUUCUGCCAGGCGGAAAUGCCACUGUUUACUUCUGCAUUCGGCGUAAAGGGGAACAAGAACGGGUCCUGAAAUGUCUGCAUUUCCUACGGAAAGAAGAUGCUGAUUUGUCAAAAGGGAAGCGCGCAGCAGAAAUAGCUGAAACCCAAGAAGAAGUCCGGGACUCUCAGAGUCCUCAGUAUCUGUUUUAAUUAUUACUCUGGUGGGAUUUUCUUAGAGAUAUCUCCACAGUGAUAACCGUUAUCGCUUUAUUUUAUAGCUUUGGCUAUUUGCAAGCCGCGAAAGAGCAGGACCAGGGACACGAAGAGCUUCAGGGACACGUUCCACAGCGGAAAGCGCUGGCUUUCGUCUGCCCCGCGUACAAGGAGCAGGACGUUGUCCCCAGCGCUCACGGCCCGGUGCUGGCUCCCUGCGACCUCACGGCCGUCCCCGCAAAAGCGAGGGGACGAGGGUGCUCCGGAGCCGGCCGGGCGACUGCCGCGCACCUCGCCGGAUCCGGCCCGUGGCAGCCGACGGAGCGAGGGAAAUGGGAUGCCGGGGACUGCUCGCUGCAGAGCACAGCCCGCCUCUUUCUAGUCCCAUAAUUUUUGUUGGGAAGUUUUAUCUUUUUAAUUUGUUACAUAUCAUGCAUCGUCUGAUUAAUUAUUGCUUCUCUGCAGGGAGGACUAGAGUUUAUAGAGCAAUAUAGCAUUAGUGUUAGCUUUAUACACCCUCAAAGCCCAGAGGAAGCUCAGCAGAGUACUUAUGCGAUGUUCUGUCGAUAAUAAUGACUCAGCAUUUGGCCGGUUCGUGGGUAUAUCAGAAGCGCUUUAUUAAAACGCACGCAGUAUAUGCAUCGAACAUAAAUACAGCCAAGAGAUGCGGAGCGUGCCGUGCCGCAUACAUAGCAGCCGGCGCCUCUCCGGGAGAGCGGGGGCUGGAGGAGCUGCUCGCCGCCGAGCCCUGCCUGCCCCUGCCCGCUCCGCCGCGCCCCGGCCGCGCAGCCCUUCAAUUGCCGCGGCGGCCUGGGCUGCAUCGAGUGGCCCGGCGUGUCCUUCAGCUGCGCGAAUGCAGAAGGAGCCAGGGUGAAAUCCCCUUUACAGCCCCGUCUCUCUGUCGGCUGAGCGAGAGCCGUCUCCCUGAAGGAGCCUUCCCAUGCGGCGGACGGUAUGAAGGAGGCUGUAGGAGUGUUCGGGGAAGGUACUGCGGCAGGACUAACAGCGAUGAAAUGCAGUUGAACAUUUCCAGCGCUGAGUAAACCAUAUGUCUUCAUAAUUUGAUUGUGCCCCGGUCCCCCAGGUACCUCCCAGCCCUAUUGAACACCGAUGGCGUUAUUUAGAAUCAUAAAUAAUAUUAUCAAAGAGGGUCUGCUGGGUAAACAGAGUCAGUGUAUAAAUUGUCGGUGCGCGGUAUUGAUUGUUCGGAGCUGACUAAUGAAUUAUUCUGUUUAAGGGCCCGUGGAAAUACCGCUCAGCGUUUGCAAGGCGAGGGCCCUUUGAAGAACUGCCCCCCCCCCCAGCGCUGCUGGGCUCGGUCGCCCCGGCACUGGCCCCCGCGGCGAGCGGGCACGCAUCUGCCAACGGCGGGAGCUUGUCUCAGGCAACCCGGCAAACGUUGCCCUAAGCUUUGAUCCCGCUAGCCUCGUCUUUUCCUCCUCGUCUCUCAUCCUCCUGCUUUCCUUCCGUCCUUCUCCGCGGGGAGAAGGGCUGUGAUGCGAGGUGUGGGGCUGGGGAGGGAGCCCGGCCGCUGCCCUGACCCGCCGUUUCGGCCGCCCGAGGCUUCCCGGUGCUGGCCCCAGGCGCUUCUCCCACUUGUUGGGAUUUCUCAGCUUUUGGGGCUUGCAUAUCUUUAAAUAGGGUUUCUUCCCCGGAGACGUAGUAGCUGCCUCAAGCCCUGCCCCGGCACAAGGAGAAAUGAGCCGUCCUUUUUAACAGAGCUUGCUUUUUUCCUCCUCACCUGCAUAAUAGGUUCUGUUAAAUUUAUAGUUUUUCAAUGCCUUUGAUGUAAGGGACUCCAAACACUUCCCCACUAAUCUCACGCAGCGGUGCCUGCAACGCCGAAGGCGCUGGCUGGGGAUACGGCACGGAACCAGACAACAGCUAUUGGCGUCUGGGGGGCCGGGGCAGCAUUAAGACACAGCUAAUUUUAAAAGAAAUGAUGCCAUUAAAAUGCUUUUGUUCUUUUUCCCUGCUUUCCAGGCUAGAGGCUCU